rnacentral:misc_RNA from 1 species
UGAUCGGCGUCACGCUGCCGGAAGAAUACGGCUGCGCCAAUGCGAGCUACGUGGCUUAUGGCCUGGUCGCGCGCGAGAUCGAGCGGGUCGAUUCCGGCUACCGCUCCAUGAACAGCGUGCAGUCGUCGCUGGUGAUGUAUCCGAUCUACGCCUAUGGCGACGAGACCCAGCGCAAGAAAUACCUGCCCAAGCUUGCCACCGGCGAGUGGGUUGGCUGCUUCGGCCUCACCGAGCCCGAUGCCGGUUCCGAUCCCGACGGCAUGAAGACCCGGGCCGAAAAGGUCGCGGACGGCUAUCGCCUGACCGGAUCGAAGAUGUGGAUAU